ACCACGUUUUUAAGAGAAGUUAAUGCUUAUUCUUCUCGAACUGUCCCAAAAAAAUAGAAAUGGAAGGAAAGCUUCUAAACUUACCCUAUGAAGCUAUCAUUACCUUGAUUCUAAAACCAAAGACCCCACUAAAAAGGA